rnacentral:rRNA from 1 species
AAACCAACAGGGAUUGCCUCAGUAACGGCGAGUGAAGCGGCAAAAGCUCAAAUUUGAAAUCUAGCACCUUCGGUGUUCGAGUUGUAAUUUGAAGAUGGUAACCUUGGGUUUGGCUCUUGUCUAUGUUCCUUGGAACAGGACGUCAUAGAGGGUGAGAAUCCCGUCUGAUGAGAUGCCCAUUCCUAUGUAAGGUGCUAUCGAAGAGUCGAGUUGUUUGGGAAUGCAGCUCUAAGUGGGUGGUAAAUUCCAUCUAAAGCUAAAUAUUGGCGAGAGACCGAUAGCGAACAAGCACAGUGAUGGAAAGAUGAAAAGAACUUUGAAAAGAGAGUGAAAAAGUACGUGAAAUUGUUGAAAGGGAAGGGCAUUAGAUCAGACUUGGUGUUUUACGAUUAUCUUCUCUUCUUGAGUUGUGCACUCGUAUUUCACUGGGCCAGCAUCGAUUCGGAUGGCAAGAUAAUGGCAGUUGAAUGUGGCUUCACUUCGGUGGAGUGUUAUAGCUUCUGCUGAUAUUGCCUGUCUGGAUCGAGGGCUGCGUCUUUUGACUAGGAUGCUGGCGUAAUGAUCUAAUGCCGC